rnacentral:rRNA from 1 species
GUGCCAGCAGCCCGGUAAUACCGGCAGCCCAAGUGAUGGCCGAUCUUACUGGGCCUAAAGCGUCCGUAGCUGGCCACGCAAGUCCAUCGGGAAAUCCACCUGCCCAACAGGUGGGCGCCCGGUAGAAACUGCGUGGCUUGGGACCGGAAGGCGCAACGGGUACGUCCGGGGUAGGAGUGAAAUCCCGUAAUCCUGGACGGACCGCCGAUGGCGAAAGCACGUCGCGAGAACGGAUCCGACAGUGAGGGACGAAAGCCAGGGUCUCGAACCGGAUUAGAAAC